CUUCUCUCAGUGUUAUGUUUUCUCAGUGAUCGCGUAUAAGUUCUCAAAGUUCUCUCAGUGUUUAGUUCUCUUAAUGAUCGCGUCUUAAGUUCUCUCAGUUAUCAAGUAUAAGUAAGCUAAGUUCUCUCAGUGUUAAAUUCUCUCAUUGACCGCGUGUUAAUUUGGCGCUGUGAUCGCGUGUUAAGUUCUAACUAAGUUGUAACCUAAUUUCUCUCAAUAAUCGCGUAUAACUUCAUUAUGUUCUCUCAUUGUUCAGUUCUCUCAAUGAUCCCGUUUAAGUUUUCUUUGUUCUCUCAGUGUUAAGUUCUCUCAAUGAUGGCGUAUAAGUUCUCUAAGUUCUCUCAGUGUUUAGUUCUCUCAAUGAUCGCGUCUUAAGUUCUCUCAGUUAUCGCGUAUAAGUAAGUUAAGUUCUCUCAGUGUUAGGUUUUUCAUUGACCGCGUGUUAAUUUUUCUUUGUGAUCGCGUGUUAAGUUCUAACUAAGUUGUAACCUAAUUUCUCUCAAUAAUCGUGUAUAAGUUCUCUCAGUUAUCGCGUAUAAGUUUUCUUUGUUCUCUCAGUGUUAAGUUCUCUCAGUUAUCGCGUAUAAGUUCUCAAAGUUUUCUCAGUGUUAAGUUCUGUCAAUGAUCGCGUCUUAAGUUCUCUCAGUUAUCGCGUAUAAGUAAGCUAAGUUCUCUCAGUGUUAAGUUCUCUCAUUGACCGCGUGUUAAUUUGUCUCUGUGAUCGCGUGUUAAAUUCUAACUAAGUUGUAACCUAAUUUCUCUCAAUAAUCACGUGUAAGUUCAUUAUGUUCUCUUAUUGUUCAGUUCUCUCAGUGGUCGCGUAUAAGUUUUCUUUAUUCUCUCAGUGUUAAUGUCUCUCAGUGAUCGCGUAUAAGUUCUCUAAGUUCUCUCAGUGUUUAGUUCUCUCAAUGAUCGCGUCUUAAGUUCUCUCAGUGAUCGCGUAUAAGUUCUCUAAGUUCUCAUAGUGUUUAGUUCUCUCAAUGAUCGCGUCUUAAGUUCUCUCAGUAAUUGCGUAUAAGUAAGCUAAGUUCUCUCAGUGUUAAGUUCUCUUAUUGACCGCGUGUUAAUUUGUCUCUGUGAUCGCGUGUUAAAUUCUAACUUAGUUGUAACCUAAUUUCUCUCAAUAAUCGCGUAUAAGUUCAUUAUGUUCUCUCAUUGUUCAGUUCUCUCAGUGAUCGCGUAUAAGUUCUCUAAGUUCUUUCAGUGUUUAGUUCUCUCAAUGAUCGCGUCAUAAGUUCCCCCAUUAUCGCGUAUAAGUAAGUUAAGUUUUCUAGUGUUAGGUUUUUCAUUGACCGCUAGUUAAUUUUUCUUUGUGAUCGCGUGUUAAGUUCUAACUAAGUUGUAACCUAAUUUCUCUCAAUAAUCGCGUAUAAGUUCAUUAUGUUCUCUCAUUGUUCAGUUCUCUCAGUGGUCGCGUAUAAG